GACGUGGUCUUCAGCAGGCAUCGAUAACUUGGGAGUCUCUGUCUAUAACUAAGGACCUGUUUACUCUCUUAGGUUGUGCAAUUCUAUCAACCCCAAAGAAACUCUGAGUCUGUGUCUCAUCACGGGACUCAAUGAAACCAGGGAAAAGAAGGAGCCAGCACGGGGCUAAUGAAGAAUCUGUAAAAAUGCAGAUGCGGAGGGUAAUUUAAGGACGCAAGAAGACGGGAUGCUAGGACAGACCGAAAGAAAGUGACGGAACAAACGAUGAAGAUACAGAGACGGAGGAAGCGGCAAAGAGAAUACGAAGAAACAGGUUGACAAGGAAUCAAACAGACGCUGUACGAUUUUGGUAACGAUAACUGUUUCGUGACACACACACUUCUGGUUGACACAUACAAUAUAUAUAUAUAUAUAUAUAUAUAUAUAUACAUAUGUAUAUAUGGAUAAAUAGGCAUGUAAAUGUUACAACUCCGGUUUAUUCAGGCAGUGAUUUCUGUAUGUUUUCCACAGAGCACGAGUAUUAGAAUGUCGGAUAGAUCUGCGGCUGUGUUUUAUUGUUUCUGCCGCCGUGUUGAUAGGUAGUGAAGCAUUCCUCGUUUUCUUGUUUCUGGUUCAUCGUGAAUGAGAACUCACCCGUUGCGACCUUGGUGCCAUGCGCGAUGUUGUCUCUUUCCCCCGUCAAGCGGAUCGUUUCGCUGAAUGAUUUCUAGUCUCGGGGGAGAAACGGAAACGGCAUCGAUGUCUCUCAAGGGCGUUCGAGAUACAGGAGCUGCGGGUGUCUGUACAGAGGUCUUUGUAUUUGCCCUAACUUUCCCGCUUGCAGAAUUCGCAUCUUUUGAGUCCUUUAAGUCAAAUCCACAGGCAAAAGACACGUUUUUUUCUGUAGACACAGAUGCUGCC
rnacentral:lncRNA from 1 species